AUAUUUAAUCAAUCGCCUCCCUCCAAACACUUCCUCCUGUAUUGUGUACCUCUAAUUUGUGUACCCCUGUCUUGCAGUCGUGUGAUUCGGUCAAAUAAUUUAAUAUUUCUGUUCACUCCAACAUAGGCCAGACUAUAGUUGUUAUUCCAGGCGUAUUAGUGCUAUGUGCAAUCAUAACCUGGGGACAAGGUUAGAACCAAAUACACAGGGACUAACUUUAAAUUAACAAUCAAUCAAAUGUAUUUAUAAAGCCCUUUUUACAUCAGCCGAUGUCACAAAGUGCUAUACAGAAACCCAGCCUAAAACCCCAAACAGCAAGCAAUGCAGAUGUAGGAUCGAGGUGGCUAGGAAAAACUCCCUGGAAAGGCAGGAUAUUAUAACAGUACAUGGCCAAGAUGUUCAAACGUUCAUAGAUGAACAGCAGGGUCAAAUAAUAAUAAUAAUCACAGUGGUUAAAGAGGGUGCAGCAGGUCAGCAACACAAUCAUCCAAAGUUAACAUUUACUUGUAAUGUUUUAUUUCCAAUUCCUUUUACAAAACAAUAAUGGAAUCUGCUGGAUGUGAUGACAAGUCAAACUCUUAAAUGUGUCUGGGAAUUUGUGUGUGAGAAUUUGUGAUUGAGAAAAUGUUUCACAAUGGAGUGAAAUGGCAAGGCACUAACUGUUAAAGUUGUCCAGUAGGAAACACACAUUUUUGUUUUCUGUUUCAAACAUGACCCUGAUCUUUCUGCUCGGGCUGCAUCUAUCAAGAUUAGGAGGGCUGAUCUUGAACCAGUUUCGCCUUUUAAAUCAGAAUGAUUAAGAUUAUAUGGACAGGCUAGGACCAGAUCAUUUAUCAGCAGCUCUACUCUGAGACACUUUAUGAAUACAGGCCUAGAUCUUGUAUGUCAUAUCUCCAGUUGAAAGACUGGUCUCUCCUGGCCCUGGGAUGGGCUGGCUGGACUGGCUGUGUCCCUCUCCUCAUGGUCAGGGUCUGAGUCCUGGGGGUCUGAGUCUCGGCCCGGGGGGUUCUGUGGGUCCAGGGGGCUGGCGGUGGCAGCAGCCAUGAUGGUGUUGAGCCUGGUGAGGGACAGCGAGCGCUGCUUGGCCCGGGGGGCGGGGGAAGUAUGUUCCAUGGGGGCGGGGUUUGGCAGGUGACUAUAGCGAUGCCCCUCCUCAUCGUACUGGUACAGACGAAUCACACGGCUCCGUCUGGCGGGCCGGGGAGGAGAACACCUCUCUUCUCCCGCUGUUCCCUCCCCCUGCCUCUCCACUCCCCCCUCUCUCACCCCAACAGACCCUUCUUCUGAAUCACUGCUACUAUCACCUCUAAAUCCUCCCUCUUCAACCUCUCCCUCACUCUCUGUCCUCUCCUUAAACUCUGUCCUCCCCUCCUUUCCCUCUCUCCCUUCCUCACUCUCUCUUCUUCCUUCCUCCCUGUCACUUUCAUUCCUCCCCUCCUUUCCCUCUCUCCCUUCCUCACUGUCACUCCUUUCUUCCUCCCCCUCUCUCCUGCUCUUCAUGAAGUUUGCCCCUGAAGCUUCUCUGAGGUUUGGCUGGUGGAGAUGGGCUUACAUUCUCCAUGGUAACGCUUGUCGUCGAGGCUGAGUAAUCCUCAUCCUCUUGUUCCACAUCCUUCCGGAAUGCCACGCUGACUGUUUCACCAUGGUUACGACGUUCCUGUCCUAGCGAACGCACCCAAUUCACACACCU
rnacentral:lncRNA from 1 species